rnacentral:lncRNA from 1 species
AAAUGGAGGAGAGAACAUCUUCAAACAUUUGAAGACAUACACCCAUUACGGAAUGGACUGCCUGUCCCUAGAGGUGUUUAAGAACAGGCUGUGUCCACUCCAUGUGGUAAUGGAUCAAAGCAUUACACAGAUAUAACCUUUGGGACGCCUAGCUAAAAAGUUAUAGCCCUUCAAAACAUGUUGGUGGAGAUUUAAAACCAACUGAUUCUACUUACUUUCCUUUUAAGAAUAAAAGUUGAAUGAUAUAGAAUUAGUUUUUCAUAAUAAGAGAGAUAAACAUUUCAAUUUUAAUUAAAGCUUUCAAAUUUAAAAAAGCAAUGUUUAGUUCAAACUCCACAUGAAAGAGUAUGUCUU